CACGAUAUGAUUUUGGUGCUACAAGACCAAAGGUGCAGGGAUAUGGUAUUUACACUGACAUACGUACUGGAACAUCAAUAUUCAACCAAGGGAUGCCAAGUGAAAGAGUUCUAACACCCGGACUUCUGAAAAAUGCAGCUGAAACCAAUAUUGAUCUUGGCUUUCGACCUCAUGCUCUCAAACGGAAAGGCAAGAAAGCUAUAACCACUUCCCAAAUUCAGCAUCACAGAAACAUUGUUGCAAGUGCCAGAAAAAAAUUGAAAAAUUUUGCUUCAUCAAAUGAUAUAGAGUGACCCAGUGAAGAUGCAACUGUUUGAGAGCAACAAUGCUUUAGCACUUUAAGAAUCACUUUAGGAGGACUUUUGUAAAUCAAGUGCUUUAGCACAACUUGUUUUGCUUUUUGGGAUUUUAUAUUAAUUUCUUCAACACUAGUUGUUUUGUGGCCUGGAAGCAACUCUUUUGCAGCUCAUAUUUUGAGCUUUAAUUGUAUUAAUUAUAGCACAAGGAUAGCCGAAAGUUUCUUGA